GCUCGAGGGCUGACCGGCUCGCUCUUACCUUGACGAGCCGGAGCUGCAGGCGCCGUCCCAUCCUCGGGCUCGCUCGGUCACCGUCCUGGAUGCCUGGGUCCCUCGGACAUCCCAGAGGGGCCGGCCGGCGGCGCCUGCCCAGUUUGGUCCCGGCAAGGAGCUUAACCUGGGAACCCCAAGACCAGGGGAGAUGGCGGUGCCCUGCAGGACUCGCCGGCCUGUGAACGCCGCGGAGGGGGAAAGUCGAGCGCGCAUUGCGCUACGAAAGGGACGGCAGCUUGGAAUCCAACGGGCUGGGCGAGGAGGAGGUCACAGCGCCCCCUCUCGGCCGAGCCCUCAGGAGCCGAAAGGGGAGGUAGAGAAGUGACUCUACCCCACAGAGCCUCGGCCUGCAGCGCCAACCGCAGACCCUCGCGAGGAAGCGGGAGCGCUCCGGGCGGAGCACGCUCCCGGAGGGGCGGUCAGCCGGCUUUGCAAGCCAACUCUGAACCCAACCGCCCUGGAUGCUGUGCCCUGCCGCGCCCACCUUCCACCUUCCGCCUUCUUCCUUCCACCCCCUUCUCAGCACACCGAGCAAAAGCCAGCACAUUCAUGGGUCCAACUGAUUCUUCAUUUAGACAGGGAGUUUUUGCUAAGAGGUCUUGUGAGGAAGCUGAGGCGCACAGACAGGUGGUGACACCGGCCC